UUCUUCGACAACGAGGGAUCCUUUGGAGGUGUAUGGAUUUUCCGAAACUCGCGGGAAACGUCCCAAAGUGGUAGCGACCGAUGACGACGACGACGCCAUUAUUACCGAUGCACGGCUGAUGCAAG
rnacentral:ribozyme from 1 species